rnacentral:lncRNA from 1 species
UUAAUCGAUAUUGUUCUCAAUAGAGUAAGAAAAAUAAAGGGUAUAUAAAAAGAGAAAGAAAAAGGAGAGAUAUCACCUGAUCCAGACAUCUUUUCAAAAUUAGUUCUCCCAAUCCCCUCAAAUUAGCCAAUUUUGUGUUCAAAUCUCUUCAAAAGAUACGAAGCAAGACUUGAUUAACCUAAACAAAAUAUAAAAGAUAUCAAAAACAAAAGAUGGAACUGGGUUACCUCACAGAAAGUACUAAGUUUAACAUCUUUAGUCAGAUUACAUUUAUUGACAGGUACUUCCACACAGAGCAGUCCAUUAUUUUUAAAAAAUAAAGAUCAGUUAAAAUAAAAUAAAAAAAUUUGGGU